AAGCAGGACUUAACUACAUUAUAGCUGGCUUGUGCUAUAUUGUCGUUCCCCCUGCUCAAAACAAUACUGUUUCUUAACUAUACCUGUCUGCUUUGUAGCAGCCAGGGACGCUUGGUCUCAUACAU
ensembl:snoRNA SNORA63 Small nucleolar RNA SNORA63